UACAGAGGGUGCAAGCGUUAAUCGGAAUUACUGGGCGUAAAGCGCGCGUAGGUGGUUCGUUAAGUUGGAUGUGAAAUCCCCGGGCUCGACCUGGGAACUGCAUCCAAAACUGGCGAGCUAGAGUAUGGUAGAGGGUGGUGGAAUUUCCUGUGUAGCGGUGAAAUGCGUAGAUAUAGGAAGGAACACCAGUGGCGAAGGCGACCACCUGGACUGAUACUGACACUGAGGUGCGAAAGCGUGGGGAGCAAACAGG
rnacentral:rRNA from 1 species